UGCAAACAGUUUGAGGCUCCUUUCUGAUUUCUAAGGUUAACUAAAGGCAGUUCUUGCCAUCUUGUCACACUUGCAUGCCUUUGUCAAACACAAGCUGCAAACAAGUUCAUGCAGACCCCAGGGCAUUGCUUUUCUGGAUGAGGAACAUAUUUACCUGAUUGUAUCACUGCAAUUCUGGGCUUAAUACACCUGUGUUAGGAGGAAAAUGUUCACAGCAAGAAGAGUCUGACUAUAGAUUCAAGGCAGUUGAAAUGUUGAUCAUAUCCCAAAGCAGAAAAUGAGAUGGAUUCUCCAGCCCACUGCAAAUACCAGCACCAUGCCCAGACUGACCAAACUGCUCCUCCUCAGCACUAAGGUCUGUUAGCUGCUGCCUUUCUACUUGAUCUCAAUUUCUAAAUAAAAUGCAAAACGUUGAAACAAGAAAGGGUCCCAGAAGGGUUCAUUGCUAUUGAGUUUAUGUGGUGGGAAGAACCAUUCUAGCCAGGAACUGUUUAUGACCUCAUGCCACGGCAAAAUCUCCUUCUGUUGGCCACUGCUGGGACGACACAGUGGGUUAGUUAGACCUCUGUUCUCAUCAGUACAACAGACAUUAAACAAAAGGAAAGUAGAUCUGCGUAGAGGAUGAGAAGAGCUCUGUUACAAAGCAGCUGAUACACCAUGUUUUAGGUGGUGUCAGACGCUGCAUCCCCACUGCCAUAGCAUCUCCC
rnacentral:lncRNA from 1 species